rnacentral:lncRNA from 1 species
ACGGACCACCAUUCGUUACCAUCUCUCAGAUAGCCUUUGAUGGCAUGACUUUGAGUCUUUGACUAUAUCCCCCUUAAUCACAAGUUGUUCCCACUUUCAUGCACGUAUAUAUAAACCCUAAUGCUAGCCAACCCAUAAAAGAGCAUGCAAACAAAUUAAGGUAUGCUUCGUCAAUCACACAACUUUGUUGUACUAGUAAUAUUCUUUUUCUUUUGGGGUAGGAAUGUUUAGGGUAUUUUUUUUAUGGUAUUCUUUUCCAAAGAGUAAUGAGUUAAACAAGCAAAAGAAUGAAACAAACGAACAAAGAACACUGUCCGUUUCGGUCGAUCUUUUCCAUUGUGAAAGUGAUACAGGAUAAUUAAUUAAUCUUCAAAAUUAUGCUAGAUGAUAUUGUUGAUAAUGUUGUGUAUAUAUGUACCACUGUUAGGUGUCAUCUACUACAACUUUCCUUAUUAUGUCAGACAAAUGGAAUUUUAAUUUCAAACUUUUGAAAAGUCUUCUUUUUUUUUUUUUUAUUAUUGCUUCUAUUUCCACAUGCCAUAUAUUAAUGGUCCCCCCA